CAGUAGCCACGGGAAUACGAAGGGUGCAAGCGUUAAUCGGAAUUACUGGGCGUAAAGCGUGCGUAGGCGGUGAGUUAAGUCUGCUGUGAAAUCCCCGGGCUCAACCUGGGAAUGGCAGUGGAUACUGGCUCGCUAGAGUGUGUCAGAGGAUGGUGGAAUUCCCGGUGUAGCGGUGAAAUGCGUAGAGAUCGGGAGGAACAUCAGUGGCGAAGGCGGCCAUCUGGGACAACACUGACGCUGAGGCACGAAAGCGUGGGGAGCAAACAGGGUUAGAUACCCGCGUAGUCCCUGUCUCUUAUCC
rnacentral:rRNA from 1 species